rnacentral:rRNA from 1 species
UACGGAGGGUGCGAGCGUUGUCCGGAAUCAUUGGGCGUAAAGAGCGUGUAGGCGGCCAAGCAGGUCCGCUGUGAAAACUCGAGGCUCAACCUCGAGACGUCGGUGGAAACCGUUUGGCUAGAGUCCGGAAGAGGAGAGUGGAAUUCCCGGUGUAGCGGUGAAAUGCGCAGAUAUCGGGAAGAACACCCGUGGCGAAGGCGGCUCUCUGGGACGGUACUGACGCUGAGACGCGAAAGCGUGGGGAGCGAACAGG